rnacentral:lncRNA from 1 species
CCAGGAAGAGAGGAUGCAUGCCGCUGGUAUCCUCGAUCAGCUUUCUGUCACAGAAUUUGUACACCUGCCUGGCUCCUUCUGCCUUGGAAUGACAUAAUUGUCUGGAAGAGUGCCAGGACAGAUUGGAAAAGGAACUACAAAGCCGGAACACCACUGGCACGGGCCAGCAAUCCAGAGGUGUGUGCUGUGUGCAGAGCUUCUCCAGAGAAAACCUGAACUCCAAAGUCUGCUUGUAACAAUGAUUGCUGUCACAUUCAUCAUAGGAACACAUAGAUAUUAGUGCUGGGGUUGGAACUGGCUUGUUUUCAUCACCCAACAGUCUCUGGAUUUCAAGUUGUCUAAUGUUCUAUAAAUCCCAAGA